CCGAACGAUCCAAAUCCUGGUUAUGAGCGAGAGAAGCUGGCGAAACUUGCAGUGCAAUUUUUGCGGAGUCGCGGAGCUGGCAAACUCGAGCUCCUCCAAAACAGCGAAGCAGGAGUUGCCAAGAAUUACAUCUAAGUGCCACCGCCAAGCUUCCCACGCGUAGAUGGGCUGUCACGCCUAGUUGGGCCCUCCCGAGCUGCUAUUUCUCAUAGCUAGGUGGCUGGCGGCCUGUUUCAACGGCCAGAACGAGGAGCUACUCUACCGAACGAUUUGUAACUCCAGGAUUUUAACUGAGAAGCCGGCUGCUGGUUUUGGGCUAUGGAGUUGAGGAUUUUGAGGCUGUGGAGAGCUACCGAACACGCCCGGAAUUAGGCACCAUGGGAAGGAUUCAAAUCUCUGAGAAGUGUGCUAAAUCAAUAGUGCCAAUCGGUUCAGUUUCAGCUUCAAAAACAUUAGGUGGUUGAAAAUGGCAUUCUAUAUUUCUGCAACAAGGCUCCCUAAAUAUUCCCUAUGUUCUAAACUGGAUUCUGACAAGGGUGUACACCCUGCUAUUUGGUCAGAAGUUCGGGAGUUCAUACUUGGUUGUUUGAUCUCGAGAACACCUUUGAUGACCACGAGCAAAUUGGGCGAACCAGAAGGUACUUCUAGAACACGGACAAUUUCCCUCAAGGUCAAGACCUCACAUCAAUGCUUCCAAGCCCCUGAUGAGCCUGUUCCUUUUUUUAAAGUUUCUCAAUGUCACUUCUAUAGGUUUACUUGAGAUGUUAUGUUGUAUAUGUUGUGCUGAGGUUUUCCCACUUCCCUUUUAACUUCUCUGAAGUUGAUCAUCACAUGUUUAUGCAAUUGGACCAAAGCGACGACAUUACUUACAGCUUACCCGGUUAACAUAACAGUUAUGAACUAGGAUGAACUUAUACAUGCAGAGAGAGAGAGAGAGAGAGGUUGUUUAAAGAAUCCGGUGUCUUUGUGUUUGCCUACAGAAUUCAAUAUUUGUUCAUGCGGUGAUCCUCGGCCUCUCUCUCUCUCUCUCUCUCUCUCUAUGUGUGUGUGUGUGUGUGUGUGUGUCCUGACUCUUUGUGCCUGUGUUGACCCUUUGUUUGUCCAUGCGAUUUUACUGUGGACUACUCUUUCUAAUUUGGCAUGUAGAUAGGGUCAUUUUUAGAUAUUCUAUAAGGUGAUUACUGUUG